AGUCUCUUUGUUCUUUUAUAUUCGGAGCAGUGGAAAAACACCGAGACCGACCUUGCUCCUGAAAGGCUGCAGCCUCUGAUCUCCUUACUGUGAAUAUUCAGUGCCACCCAUCUUUGAAGACAACAGUCCAACAAAAGUGGAGGAGUGGAGAGACCCUAGACACGGGUGAACUGCUUUUCUGUAGCACAACUGGCUGUUAUGAAGAUGUAUAAUUUUUAAAUUUCCAUUGCUUUAAUUACUAUAGCCUUAGUACAAUAAAAAUAUUAGCAUUAGCCACAA